UUGGGUAGGGGAGCGUUCUGUAAGCCUGCGAAGGUGGCCUGUGAGGGUUGCUGGAGGUAUCAGAAGUGCGAAUGCUGACAUAAGUAACGAUAAAGCGGGUGAAAAGCCCGCUCGCCGGAAGACCAAGGGUUCCUGUCCAACGUUAAUCGGGGCAGGGUGAGUCGACCCCUAAGGCGAGGCCGAAAGGCGUAGUCGAUGGGAAACGGGUUAAUAUUCCCGUACUUGGUGUUACUGCGAAGGGGGGACGGAGAAGGCUAUGUUGGCCGGGCGACGGUUGUCCCGGUUUAAGCGUGUAGGUGUGUGUUCCAGGUAAAUCCGGUUCACUUUAACACUGAGGCGUGAUGACGAGGC
rnacentral:rRNA from 1 species